rnacentral:rRNA from 1 species
GAUGAACGCUGGCGGCGUGCCUAAUACAUGCAAGUCGAGCGAACGGACGAGAAGCUUGCUUCUCUGAUGUUAGCGGCGGACGGGUGAGUAACACGUGGAUAACCUACCUAUAAGACUGGGAUAACUUCGGGAAACCGUAGCUAAUACCGGAUAAUAUUUUGAACCGCAUGGUUCAAAAGUGAAAGACGGUCUUGCUGUCACUUAUAGAUGGAUCCGCGCUGCGUUAGCUAGUUGGUAAGGUAACGGCUUACCAAGGCAACGAUGCAUAGCCGACCUGAGAGGGGGAUCGGCCACACUGGAACUGAGACACGGUCCAGACUCCUACGGGAGGCAGCAGUAGGGAAUCUUCCGCAAUGGGCGAAAGCCUGACGGAGCAACGCCGCGUGAGUGAUGAAGGUCUUCGGAUCGUAAAACUCUGUUAUUAGGGAAGAACAUAUGUGUAAGUAACUGUGCACAUCUUGACGGUACCUAAUCAGAAAGCCACGGCUAACUACGUG